rnacentral:lncRNA from 1 species
GAGAAGUCAGGCCAGAUUAAGCCAUA